CACACACCAACAACUAAAAUGUAUUAUAGCAUGAGGAAAUGUGGGAAUGUCCUGACACCAUGUGCAAAAGCACCAAGUCACCAAGGCUGAUCUCACCCAGUACCCACGUUCCUGUGCUAAAAGGUUCUCCCUGGUGGGUAGCCAGCAUGUUGCCAAGCCACAGCUCCUCAGACAUGACGCCCACCUAAGCCUCAGGGUUGUUCAGUCCUCAGCCAGUCCCCAUAUGAACACUUCCUUCCGAAAGCCUGUAUAUCAAGAGAGAAGGCAGUGGGGUAUCAGAAAAGCUUACUGCACUUAGACUUAAGUGAGACUAAAUGGAAACAGCUCAAAAUAUUCCAUGUCCUGCCCCCAGACCCAGGGACUAAAUUGAUGGUUCCUUCAGAAGCCACAUUAAACCUUUCAUGUGCUGAUCAUAAAACUCCAGAGAACCCAUCAACCAGCCGGCAACAAAAUGAUGAGAGAUCUUUAUUUAGAGACUUGGCCACCUCCUCUUUUGUGAAAGAGAAGAAAGGCAUUGCCAAGCUUGCUAGCUCAGAGCAGUCCACAUUUUACUUCUGUGGAGCCGAAAACACAGGACAAGUUCUUCAUAAAAUAUUUGAGGUAUGCUAAAAAGAAAAGUCCAGAGACUUUUCUCCUUCACACUUGCCUUAUUAGGAAAUAUUUUUCUUUUUUUUUUUAAACAUUUUAUUUAUUUAUUCAUGAGAGAGAGAGAGAGAGAGAGAAUGAGAGAGGAAGAGACACAGGCAGAGGGAGAAGCAGGCUCCAUGCAGGGAGUCCGACAUGGGACUCGACCCUGGGUCUCCAGGAUCAAGCCCUGGGCCAAAGGCAGGCACUAAACCGCUGAGCCACCCAGGGAUCCCCAGGAAAUAUUUUUCAUAAAUAGUAGCAGUACAAUAAAAUACUUCGCAAUCAUUAGAGAGGUAGCUCUACAGAUACUGAUGUGGAAAAAUGUGCAAGCUAUAUAGCUAAAUGGGGUGAAAUGAGAGUUGCAAAAUAGAAUGUACUGAAGUAUCCCAUUUUUAUAUAAACUUAGUUUAUGUUUAGAUAAUAAAAAUUGGGGGGAAAUGCACCAAAUCUUGAAAGAGGUAAUCACUGAAAGAUGAGAUUACAUGACAUUCCUACUUGUCAUGUUUCCUAUUUUUAUGAUUGACUGUUACUUACCUUUUUCUUAAAACCAGAAAAAUAACAAUAAAAAUAGCCAAUCAAGUCUUCCUCCCACUGUCUACUUUCCCCUAGCUCUUUAGGAUAUAGUAAUCAG
rnacentral:lncRNA from 1 species